rnacentral:rRNA from 1 species
GACGAACGCUGGCGGCGUGCUUAACACAUGCAAGUCUAACGAUGAAGCCGCUUCGGUGGUGGAUUAGUGGCGAACGGGUGAGUAACACGUGGGCAAUCUGCCCUGCACUCUGGGACAAGCCCUGGAAACGGGGUCUAAUACCGGAUACGACCAUCGGCCGCAUGGCCUGGUGGUGGAAAGCUCUGGUGGUGCAGGAUGAGCCCGCGGCCUAUCAGCUUGUUGGUGGGGUGAUGGCCUACCAAGGCGACGACGGGUAGCCGGCCUGAGAGGGCGACCGGCCACACUGGGACUGAGACACGGCCCAGACUCCUACGGGAGGCAGCAGUGGGGAAUAUUGCACAAUGGGCGCAAGCCUGAUGCAGCGACGCCGCGUGUGGGAUGACGGCCUUCGGGUUGUAAACCUCUUUCAGCAGGGAAGAAGCUUUCGGGUGACGGUACCUGCAGAAGAAGCACCGGCUAACUACGUGCCAGCAGCCGCCGUAA